UUUAGACUUUUUUUUUGCCUUAUUUUUUAUUUGUGUAAACAAAACACUUAUACUCUCUCUUUCUCUUCCCACAUAUAGACCCUUCUCAGCCUCCCGAAAAGACCGCUUCUACGUGGGUCAAGGGGAAGCAAUUGGAAGAAGUCGUGGCCGUUAAAAACACGUGAGGUUUGCCAAUAUCUCUAACAGAAACACAAAAACAAAAACACAAAAACAAGCAUUACCCGGUCUCUCAAUUGUAAAUUUUUUUACAAUUGUGCUAUAGUAACCUCCUAUAUGUAUGAGGGUACCGUAGCACAAUUUUGCUCCAAUUGUGUUUUUUGUUUAAUGGUGGUGGUGGCUUUUUUGUUUGUGGUGGUGGUUGGAUUUUUUGUUCAAUGUUGGUGGUGGGUUUUGUGUUAAUGAUGGUGGGUGGAUUUUUUGUUUAUUGUGUGGUUGGGUUUUUGUGUUUAUGGUGGUGGUUAAGUUUUUUGUUUAAUGUUGGUGGUGGGUUAUUUGUUUAUUGUGAUGGCUGGGUUUUUUGUUUAUAGUAGUGACUGUGUUUUUGUGUUAAUGUUGGUGACUAUGUUUUUUGUUUAAUGGUGGUGGUGGGUUUUUUGUUUAUGGUGGUGGCUGAGUUUUUUGUUUAAUGUUGGUGGUGGGUUUUUUGUUUAUUGUGAUGGUUGAGCUUUUUGUUUAUGGCAGUGGUUGAGUUUUUGUGUUAAUGGUAGUGGCUCUGUUUUUUGUUUGAUAAUGGUGGUGGGUUUUUUUGUUUAUGGUAGUGGUUGGGUUUUUGUGUUAAUGGUGGUGGCUAUGUUUUUUGUUUAAUGGUGGUUGUUGGGUUUUUUGUUUAUGGUAGUGACUGGGUUUUGUGUUUAUGGUGGUGACUAUGUUUUUUGUUUAAUAGUGGUGGUGGGUUUUUUGUUUAUGGUGGUGGUUGAGUUUUUUGUUUAUUGUGAUGGCUGGGUUUUUUUGUUUAUGGUAGUGGCUGAGUUUUUGUAUUAAUGGUGGUAGCUGAGUUUUUUGUUUAUGGUGGUGGCGAGUUUUUUGUUUAUGGUGGUGGCCGUGGUUUUUGUUUAAUGGUGGUGGCUAUAUAUAUAUAUUUUUUAAUGGUGUUGGCUAGAUUUUUUAUUUGUUGUGGUGGUUGGGUUUGUGUUAAUGAUGGUAGCUGGGUUUUUGUUUUGGAUUUCACUUUAUUUGUUUUGUUUUAAAUUGGGAUUUUUCUGCAUUCUUUGUGAUUUCUCCAUGGUUUGUAAUGUGGGUUGGGUUUUUAUUUGAUGAGAAUGUUGUGGGUCUUCUUUCUUUGAUAGUUUGGCUUCAUAUGAUGUUGCAUUAUGAUUAUUUUGUCUAGUUUGUUAUUGGGUAUUCUGUGGACAUUUUUUGCAUUGUCUUACUAAUAAUAAUCUUUUUUUGUUGUAGUACAUCUUAUCAGGAAUAUAGGUUUGCAGUCUAGUUUGUUAUUGAUGUAUUUUCCUUUAUACUUGUGCAGAUAUGGGAUUGGUGGUAAAAAGAUAGCUUUUGUGGGACUACUUGAACUCAAAUAAUUUUCUGUAAAGUUAGGAAGCUAAGACAUCAUUUGUAUAUAAAUGGUUGUAAUUACUUUGUGAACAUCUUUAUUGCAGUUUUAGAUUGUAUGGAUGUUUUUUAUGGAUUUGUUUAGAAAUGAAUGGAAUUUAUUUUUAAUUUAUUUUUCAUGGAUUUGGUUAGAAAUGAACAGGUUAAUGUAAUGGCAAGUAAAUGUAAAGAAUAUUAAUAAAAAAUAAAAUUGGUGAUGAUAAUUUUCGUUGCCA